GCUUCCUCCUUGGUGGGUCCCUGCUAGCUUUCUGAAAAACAGUAACAAGGAUCCCCUGAGUACUCAGCAAGUCUGACCCGACUAACCAAUAUAGAUAGAUUCUCUUUUACUGAUUGAUAGCUGUUUGGUGUACUGGCUGACUCACAUCUUGCGAAAAAGCUUACUAUCAGUGGAACCUUGGUUUUGUUAUUUUAUUUUAGUUUGGUUUUUACGUAACCUGUCUGGAUGAAUAAAACAUUUUGAGCACUCAAUGGGACUAAGUCAUACAACAUAUUAAUUCCAUGAAAAACAUUAUAUUCAACGUGAUUACACUACGAUACUUAACAAUGAUCAAAGUGCAUUCAUAACCGAGAAUUGGGGCGAUCUGGACCGAUUUACAUCCUGCAGGAGAUACCCGAGCACCAGCCAUGUACAACUGUACGGGUUGUACACAACAACCUUUCGAUUAGUCGUACUUAAAGAUUGGGAAUAUGACUACCCGAACCCAGGGACGCACCCCCACAUGGGACCCUACGUCUGGCCUAGUCUCCAUGUGAGUUUCAGGCUACGCCCCUACCAUUCUCCAGCAUGUCAAGCACAGGUACAAAAUAUUCCUGAUCAGAGAGCCAACUAACCUACCGGGCUUUGCUGGUCCCAUACCCAGUAAGCAACUAGGUAAAAUCACUUGAUCAAAGGUUAAGACAAUGAACGGUCCUUAACCACAUUAACUUAGCAGAUAGAACUACCAUCUUUAGCUUCUGUCCACAUUUCGAAAAUCCCAGACCAUUUCCUUGAUUAACAUGUAUGACCAUCUUAGCCUUGGUGUUGAGUAACCAAAGUUACUCAUAGGUAUCUAAGCAUUGCUAAGCUUAGGAUAGUUACUAAUUAGUUGAACAGGUGGCAAAGAUGUCCUUAAUAACAAGGUUGGAUUAUGCAUAAAAGUAAGUUUUAAAUCAACUCCUAGACCUAAUCCACAUAUAAAGAAAUAACCAUUAAUAUGACUCAUGAAUAGUAAUUUCUGAAAGUAGAUGGGUUUAAAUGCACCGGAGCUUGCCUGGGAUCAACAAAUGUUAUUCCUUCGAAAAACCCCUUUAGGAAAAGAAGCACUUCAACACUUCUCGGACUCUAACAAUCUUCAGAUGAAUUCCACGAAUUCAUCUUCAGGAGCUUCGACGUCUACGAUUUAGUACAUGUAGGAGUUAGAGAUGCAAACUUUUGAACACAUGACUAUACAACUUUCCUUCAUGAUAAAGUUGCAAGCCAACAAGUGACUAUACAACCUAUCUUCAUGAUAAAGUUGCAAGCUGACAAGUGACAAGUGACUAUACAACCUAUCUUGGUGAUAAAGUUGCAAGCCAACAUUAAACUACCCAUAAAGAUUAACCCACAAUUUUUAAUUUCUUUACUAACCUACCUUAAGCCUUUUCUUUUAUUUAGACAAGCAUUAUAAAUAAAUUCUAAUUUCCAAAACCUAAUUCCUAUGGAUUACUAAGAAUUUGUGAAUAAUAAAACAUUAUUCAAUAUUUUAUACAUUUUAUAAACACUAAGUAUUUAUUUAAAUACCUUAACUAAAGGUACUAAAUAAAUACCUAUUUUUUAUUACCUUUUCCUAGGGUGUAAGAAUUUUUAAUGCAUAAAGAAAGAUAAAAAAUUCCUAAUAAAAUUGGUUUCACUAAUUUUGGACAAUUCUACAAUUUUUGGUGAAUUAAAUAGUAAAAACAUGAAUUUAAACUAUUAUCUCCAAACUGAAAACCUAUCAUUAUCCCCACCCCCCUGAAAAACUUUCUCACUCACCCACGCCCUACCCACAGACUCAGACAUGUGGGCCCGCUCGGUCAAAAACAGAGGCCCGAUGUUGACCGCGGCUUUCCC
rnacentral:lncRNA from 1 species